rnacentral:lncRNA from 1 species
CGUGAGGCAUGAACAAACUGUAAGAAAGAGCAGAGAUAGCACUAUACAAGCCAAUCUAGUCAGAAAAAUGACAACCUGGGCACGGCAGAACAACAUAAGAAUCACAAGAGAGGACAAGACGAAAAAGGUAGUACUAAUGAAUGAAAGCAUCAAUGACGAUUUUUUGAGAAACUACAUUGACGAGUCACAGCCGCACCACCUGAACAAGGACCCAUCAAUAAGUUUAGUGAAGAAAGUCAACAGAAUAGUGAGAAACAAGGCAUUCCCACAAACCUGAAACAUAGCAAGAUCAUGGACCCCGUAUGUCGUAGACUAUUUGCAUUCAUUAAGACACACAAGAACCCAAUAGCUGCCAGACCAAUAGUGGAAAAGCAGAAAGCCCCCACAUAUAAUUUAGAAAAGUGCCUAGCCAAAUAGUGCAUGGGAAUUCUAAGAUCCAAUCAAUAUUCUACCACCUCAACGGAAGAUGCAUUAAGAAGGAUUAGAGCCUUAGCAUGGAACGACUGUAACAUCGCCGCAACCUA